rnacentral:lncRNA from 1 species
UUCUGAACACAUGUUCAGAACAUCUUUUACACAUAUUAUCACACCUAAAAGACAUCUUUCUCUUUAAGCGAACACAACAAAGAGAGCAUAAAACUGAGAGCAAAAAAGAAAAGGAAUUCUUCUUGGCUAAAGAAUCACUAUUUAAUAGUCUUCCUUGGGCAAAAAAGAAAACUUUGCUUCGGCUUCUUUCUUGCUGGUUUCUGUUUUGGUUCUACUAGUUCAUUUGUUGCUGUGGCUGUUGAUUUUGAGUUGUGUUUGCUAGCUGUGAGUUUGGAUAAAGUUCAUCACUUUUGUUUGCUUUCAGAUCUGCGGGCUAUGUAUUCUUCUUAACUUUGUAAUGUAUUUUUUUCGAUCUCUAUGAAUGAAGCAUGAAGUCUGAAGGUUUAACUUGAUUUCAUUUGUUGGUUUUGGAUUAUUUUUAUGAAUGAUAACUUUAUGUUGUCAUGCUCGGA